rnacentral:misc_RNA from 1 species
AUGAAGGCGGGUCUCUGGCCCAUCAUCCCUCAAACCCCCGUGGAAGCGAGACGUGCUUCGGCGCCUCUGGGCGUCGAACCCAUGCGGUUUAGCUUGUGUCUGAAGAGAAACAAAACAUUUA